rnacentral:rRNA from 1 species
AGAGUUUGAUCCUGGCUCAGGAUGAACGCUGGCGGCGUGCUUAACACAUGCAAGUCGAACGAAGCAUUUUAGCGGAACAUUUUCGGAUGGGAAGUUAAAAUGACUGAGUGGCGGACGGGUGAGUAACGCGUGGAUAACCUACCAUAUACAGGGGGACAACAGUUGGAAACGACUGCUAAUACCGCAUAAGCGCACAGUGCCGCAUGACACGGUGUGAAAAACUCCGGUGGUAUAUGAUGGAUCCGCGUCUGAUUAGGUAGUUGGUGAGGUAACGGCUCACCAAGCCGACGAUCAGUAGCUGGUCUGAGAGGAUGAUCAGCCACACUGGGACUGAGACACGGCCCAGACUCCUACGGGAGGCAGCAGUGAGGAAUAUUGGACAAUGGAGGAAACUCUGAUCCAGCCAUGCCGCGUGAGUGAUGAAGGCCUUCGGGUUGUAAAGCUCUUUCGGGUGUGAAAAUGAUGAUGGUAACACCAGAAGAAGCCCCGGCUAACUCCGUGCCAGCAGCCGCGGUAAUACGGAGGGGGCGAGCGUUGUUCGGAAUCACUGGGCGUAAAGCGUGCGUAGGCGGUUAUACAAGUCAGGAGUGAAAUCCCAGGGCUCAACCUUGGAAUUGCUUUUGAGACUGUAUGGCUAGAGAUCUAGAGAGGUUGGGGGAAUUCCGAGUGUAGAGGUGAAAUUCGCAGAUAUUCGGAGGAACACCAGUGG